UCUUCCGAUCUUAAUACCGCAUAACAAUGGAUGACACAUGUCAUUUAUUUGAAAGGGGCAAUUGCUCCACUACAAGAUGGACCUGCGUUGUAUUAGCUAGUAGGUGAGGUAACGGCUCACCUAGGCGACGAUACAUAGCCGACCUGAGAGGGUGAUCGGCCACACUGGGACUGAGACACGGCCCAGACUCCUACGGGAGGCAGCAGUAGGGAAUCUUCGGCAAUGGGGGCAACCCUGACCGAGCAACGCCGCGUGAGUGAAGAAGGUUUUCGGAUCGUAAAGCUCUGUUGUAAGUCAAGAACGAGUGUGAGAGUGGAAAGUUCACACUGUGACGGUAGCUUACCAGAAAGGGACGGCUAACUACGUGCCAGCAGCCGCGGUAAUACGUAGGUCCCGAGCGUUGUCCGGAUUUAUUGGGCGUAAAGCGAGCGCAGGCGGUUUGAUAAGUCUGAAGUUAAAGGCUGUGGCUCAACCAUAGUUCGCUUUGGAAACUGUCAAACUUGAGUGCAGAAGGGGAGAGUGGAAUUCCAUGUGUAGCGGUGAAAUGCGUAGAUAUAUGGAGGAACACCGGUGGCGAAAGCGGCUCUCUGGUCUGUAACUGACGCUGAGGCUCGAAAGCGUGGGGAGCGAACAGGAUUAGAUACCCUGGUAGUCCACGCCGUAAACGAUGAGUGCUAGGUGUUGGAUCCUUUCCGGGAUUCAGUGCCGCAGCUAACGCAUUAAGCACUCCGCCUGGGGAGUACGACCGCAAGGUUGAAACUCAAAGGAAUUGACGGGGGCCCGCAC
rnacentral:rRNA from 1 species